rnacentral:lncRNA from 1 species
GGGGUGGCCGCCCCCGGGGGGUCACAGCCACCGGGCAGCCGGUGCGCAGCUCCUGGCUGGAAAUCUGGUCCUGCAAACGCAGCGACUGCGGGUAACAGCCCGGCGAAAGGGGAGCGAGGAGGGGAAAAACCUUCUGAACUUGGCCGUGUGGUCAGUGCAGUAUUGUGGGUUGGGGGUUUAGAAAAGCUAUGAACCUGGCUGGAAAGCCUCUCCGUGAUUCAUCCCGUUUUCACCCUGACUUUGGUACCCAGUGUUUCGGGAGAGCAGAUGCGUCUGUGCUUUUUUUUGGCUUUUUGGGGAGCCGUGAUGUGUGCUGGGAAGGGGCUUCUCGACAUGACCGGCCCUUUGCCUGCUCUGCCGCGUGCCUUGCUGGUUUCCCUGGUACUCAGUYCUGCCUAGGCGGACCUGAUGGGAGCCCGCUGGAAAAUUCCUAAGGACUUGAAGGUCCUGCGCCGCGCGGGAGGGAGACCAUGUUCCGCUUGCGAGUCGGUGCCCGCAGCCCGAGUCUCCGUCUGUCCCUACACGUGACAUGGGCUGAGCAUCCCUGUCCUGACAGUGGGAGCGGGCUCUGCUCAUUAGAGAGUGUUUCAAGCAACUCCGUUCAUAGCCCACAGGAACAUGGGAUUUUAAUUUACCCACUUGCUUCAGAGCUCGAAAAUCCACUGCUGCAAUCAGGACAGUUGCAGCUUUGAUUAAAAAUCCUAAAGGCAAGUCUCGUGUGUUUUGCUUCCUCCCUUCUACAAGCAGAAAGAAGAUUGGGUGCAUAAAAUAAUGAUGAGCGAGUUCAAAGCCAUCGCAGAAAGCUGCCCUGAGAGGACGUUCUCUAAUGCGACUCCAGCCCUUUACCGUUCUUCUUCCUCGCUGAGUGAGCGCCAACACAACAGACACAGUCUGGCAAGAGCCACUGCCGACAGUCCCCAAAUGCAGAAAUGCGCCUGCUGCGUGCGUGCGGGCGAAGGAGCCACGGCAAAGGCUUUAUUAGAGCAGCUUCCCUCUGAGACACGAGCAAACAAGCUGAGGACUGCCAAAUCAAAUCUUUCCGCAGGAAGCAGAAGAACAAGUUAAGG